rnacentral:rRNA from 1 species
UACGGCUCAGUAACACGUGGACACCUACCCUCAGGUCGGGGAUAAACCCGGGAAACUGGGUAUAUACCCGAUAGAUCUCGGCUGCUGGAAUGCAUCGAGCUCUAAAGCUCCGGCGCUGAGGAUGGGUCUGCGGCCUAUCAGGUAGUAGUGGGUGUAGCGUACCUACUAGCCUACGACGGGUACGGGUUGUGAGAGCAAGAGCCCGGAGAUGGAUUCUGAGACACGAAUCCAGGCCCUACGGGGUGCAGCAGGCGCGAAAACUUUACAAUGCCGGCAACGGCGAUAAGGGGACCUCGAGUGCCAGGUUACAAAUCUGGCUGUCGUGAUGCCUAAAAAGCAUUGCAUAGCAAGGGCCGGGCAAGACCGGUGCCAGCCGCCGCGGUAACACCGGCGGCUCGAGUGGUAACCGUUAUUAUUGGGUCUAAAGGGUCUGUAGCCGGCCGGAUAAGUCUCUUGGGAAAUCCAGCAGCUUAACUGUUGGGCUUUCAGGAGAUACUGUCUGGCUCGAGGCCGGGAGAGGUGAGAGGUACUUCAGGGGUAGGGGUGAAAUCUUGUAAUCCUUGAAGGACCACCAGUGGCGAAGGCGUCUCACCAGAACGGACCUGACGGCAAGGGACGAAAGCUAGGGGCACGAACCGGAUUAGAUACCCGGGUAGUCCUAGCCGUAAACGAUACUCGCUAGGUGUCGGCCACGACGCGACCGUUGUCGGUGCCGUAGGGAAGCCGUGAAGCGAGCCA